rnacentral:rRNA from 1 species
UAACCUACGGGGGGCAGCAGUGAGGAAUAUUGGUCAACGGGCGGAAGCCUGAGCCAGCCAAGUCGCGUGAGGGAAUAAGGCCCUACGGGUCGUAAACCUCUUUUGCCGGGGAGCAAGGGCCGGGACGCGUCCCGGCCCGGAGAGUACCCGGAGAAAAAGCAUCGGCUAACUCCGUGCCAGCAGCCGCGGUAAUACGGAGGAUGCGAGCGUUAUCCGGAUUUAUUGGGUUUAAAGGGUGCGCAGGCGGAAUGUCAAGUCAGCGGUAAAAUUUCGGGGCUCAACCCCGUCGUGCCGUUGAAACUGGG